CCGAAAGAAACAAAUAGAGUGCAAGCAAUGCAAGAAAGCUGCGCUCGAAACCUCACUCAUCGACCCAUCCUUGCCGAUUCUUCAUCAACCUCAUUCCCCCAAGAAAGGGGCGCUAGGAGGAGAGGAAGUUAAAAGAACCAAGGCAGCUCAGCUGCAUUGUUCUCUGCUCCCUCUAUGGUGACCUGGUUGAAGAAGAAAAGGCAUGGAGAGAGUAUGAGUGCCGCAUCCCGGAUACCUAGGUAAACUGGCUCUCCGCCGCCAAAUCCGCCGUGCAUGUGGCAGAUCAGGAUGAUUACCUCUGACGAUUGGCGGCCCAGGGAAUGAGCGUGGCAUGGUGGACAAGGAGGCCAUGCUCCCCUUUCCUCCUGAGGUGGUGCCCUCAUCCUCUCAUCCAGCCCCUCAUUGCAUGGCGGAUCCACGUUACAAGAGUUCUUCUCGCAUCGUGGCACCCGGGCAUGCCGGAGGAGGUUGUGAUAAGGAGGUGGAACACCUAUUACGAGAGAU
rnacentral:lncRNA from 1 species